rnacentral:rRNA from 1 species
CAGUAGCCGCGGUAAUACAGAGGGUGCAAGCGUUAAUCGGAAUUACUGGGCGUAAAGCGCGCGUAGGUGGUUUGUUAAGUUGGAUGUGAAAUCCCCGGGCUCAACCUGGGAACUGCAUCCAAAACUGGCAGGCUAGAGUAGGGCAGAGGGUGGUGGAAUUUCCUGUGUAGCGGUGAAAUGCGUAGAUAUAGGAAGGAACACCAGUGGCGAAGGCGACCACCUGGGCUCAUACUGACACUGAGGUGCGAAAGCGUGGGGAGCAAACAGGAUUAGAUACCCCUGUAGUCCCUGUCUCUUAUAC